CAAAAAAGUCUUCUUUAAUAAAUAAAUAAUUAUAUUUAGCUAUGUGAAAAGAAGUGCACAGCGAGUGCUUGCUGUAAUCAGGAUCAGGUCUAAUCUCAGUCUGAACAUACAUUUCAAAUUAGCAAUGUGACGAAAUUAUUCGCAGAAUGAGUUCCAGUCUGAGCAACAAGUCACGAAGCGGCGCCUCAGAAAACAGCCGAGCCGCGUUCAAGUCUGUUAGCGAGCACCAGUUAUAACAGCUACAGUGUUUGGGCUUGCUGGAGAUUGGAAAAACGCCGAGGGAGCAGACAGAGCAAAGCGCUCCUAUCAGCUGCCUAUUCCAUUCCGUGCUGUUCCCCACUCCUUAUCCAUUUAGUCCAGUGAAAGCGGCCUGUAAAGUUUCAACACAUUUCUUAGCAAAAAACUGGGUGAAUAGACAAUCACAUGAAGUUCGUUAAAGCUGCAGAUGGAACAGUAUAGAUUUCCGACAGGGCGGGUUGCGAAGGGUGCAGGGACGGGACGUUUCAAUGGCAGCUCCGAAUGACUGAAAUGAUGAAGGGCUGCCUACGUUCAGAUAGAUCAUGAAGACUGUUUUAUUCUGCAGCAGAAUCAAUCUCUCGCACUCAAAGAAGCCAAGGCUCUGAAUGCUGUCAGAUUUCCAAACCUUUUUGUUUCAAAGAUGAGAUUUUAUUGCUAAAAACAUUGAACCAUUAUAUUUACAUUGAUAUGUUUUGUUUUAGAAAGAAUAUUCAAGUAAACAUUUCCAAAUGUCACGGUAUCAUCUACAUUAUAUCAACAAACGUUAAAGUAAUAAAUAAUUGGACACAAGA